rnacentral:piRNA from 1 species
UUCGACCGGAAAGAUCCUCUC